rnacentral:lncRNA from 1 species
AAGGGAUAGGGAGGUAGGACGAUCAAUUGUUUUUGCUUCUGUUUGGUAAUACAUUGCUAAUUGCUAGGGGAGGCUAGGGAUAGCAAGCCGGUAAUUAGUAAUAGGCUCUUUUCGCCGAGGGAUCGAGUUAAGGGUAGGCCAAGAAAGUGUGCAUAACAAUUAGCUAAUCAAGCACAUUAUACAAGAGGAGUAGACAAGAGGGAGCGGAUAAGAUGAAAUUGUCAACCCGUAACAACUUCAUUCAUCCAUAGUCUUUUUCGUCAAUUGAAUCAAAUACAUUGCAA